GUUGACCAAGUAAAGAGAACAGACAAGGAGGGAACUCCAGGCAGAGGGAAUUCUCUCAGCGGGACCCUGCAGGCCUCAGAAGCCACCCUGCGGCAUGUGGACUUCAUCCAUGGUCAGAUGGGGGUGAGCAGAGGUGAGGCGGAGACUGGCAGAAGGCGGGGAGAUACCCUGGGCAGGGCCGCCGGGGCGGGAGCAGGAAGCGAAAACCUUUUCGUUAGGGCAACGACAGUCACAUGAUACUGACUCACCCAACAUUUCCUGAGGGCCUACUAUGUCCCAGUCCUGGGGAUGCAGUGGGAAACAACAUCAUGGGGUCACAGAGCCGAUGUUCCAGUGAGGGAGACGGAGAGUGACAGAAAAUCUCAUAAAUAAUUCAUCGAGUCCAGCUGUCUGGAGGGUUCAGCAGGAGAGGACACGGAGGGGCUUGACAUGGACCAGCUGCCGCCGCCGAGGGACAGGCUGCUGGAGCGCCGAUGGGCUCUCAGCAAAAUUGAUGGCCACUGUCAGAAAAUGAUUUCCCCACGGCCUGACGCCAGCCCUCGGAGGAGCUCAAAUCCCAGGCAGCGAUGUCUCCUGGGGCGGGCGGGCGGCCCGCACCUGGCCCAGCUGCUUCCCAAAGCCGGGAGCCCGCGAUGCCCAGGAGACAAGAGAAGCCUACAGGGCCGGCACCCGGGAGGCCGCGCUGAGAGGCUGUGGGGCAGCAGGGGGCCCUGCCCUCUGGGGAAGAGUGGGGGCUCCUGCCUGUACCCCCUUAAAUCAAUCUGUACCUCCAAGCCCAGCGCCGAGCCGGGCACAGCGCAAGCACCCGGUGAAUGCUGAAUAAAUGAGGUAAUAAAUAA